rnacentral:rRNA from 1 species
AAACUCAAAUGAAUUGACGGGGACCCGCACAAGCGGUGGAUGAUGUGGUUUAAUUCGAUGCAACGCGAAAAACCUUACCCACCUUUGACAUGGCAGGAAUCCCGAAGAGAUUUGGGAGUGCUCGAAAGAGAACCUGCACACAGGUGCUGCAUGGCUGUCGUCAGCUCGUGUCGUGAGAUGUUGGGUUAAGUCCCGCAACGAGCGCAACCCUUGCCAUUAGUUGCUACGAAAGGGCACUCUAAUGGGACUGCCGGUGACAAACCGGAGGAAGGUGGGGAUGACGUCAAGUCCUCAUGGCCCUUAUAGGUGGGGCUACACACGUCAUACAAUGGCCGGUACAGAGGGUAGCCAACCCGCGAGGGGGAGCCAAUCCCACAAAGCCGGUCGUAGUCCGGAUCGCAGUCUGCAACUCGACUGCGUGAAGUCGGAAUCGCUAGUAAUCGCGGAUCAGCAUGUCACGGUGAAUACGUUCCCGGGUCUU